AGAGUUUGAUCCUGGCUCAGAUUGAGAGCACUCGCUACAGGCCUCACAUGCAAGUCGAGCGGUAGCACAGGUAGCUUGCUCCUGGGUGACGAGCGGCGGACGGGUGAGUAAUGUCUGGGAAUCUGCCUGAUAGAGGGGGAUAACUAUUGGAAACGGUAGCUAAUACCGCAUAACGUCUACGGACCAAAGCGGGGGACCUUCGGGCCUCAUGCCAUCAGAUGUGCCCAGAUGGGAUUAGCUAGUAGGUGGGGUAAUGGCUCACCUAGGCGACGAUCCCUAGCUGGUCUGAGAGGAUGACCAGCCACACUGGAACUGAGACACGGUCCAGACUCCUACGGGAGGCAGCAGUGGGGAAUAUUGCACAAUGGGCGCAAGCCUGAUGCAGCCAUGCCGCGUGUGUGAAGAAGGUCUUCGGGUUGUAAAGCACUUCAGCGAGGAGGAAGGGCAGAGUGUUAAUAGCGA
rnacentral:rRNA from 1 species